GACGAACGCUGGCGGCGUGCCUAAUACAUGCAAGUUGAGCGCUGAAGGUUGGUACUUGUACCAACUGGAUGAGCAGCGAACGGGUGAGUAACGCGUGGGGAAUCUGCCUUUGAGCGGGGGACAACAUUUGGAAACGAAUGCUAAUACCGCAUAAAAACUUUAAACACAAGUUUUAAGUUUGAAAGAUGCAAUUGCAUCACUCAAAGAUGAUCCCGCGUUGUAUUAGCUAGUUGGUGAGGUAAAGGCUCACCAAGGCGAUGAUACAUAGCCGACCUGAGAGGGUGAUCGGCCACAUUGGGACUGAGACACGGCCCAAACUCCUACGGGAGGCAGCAGUAGGGAAUCUUCGGCAAUGGACGAAAGUCUGACCGAGCAACGCCGCGUGAGUGAAGAAGGUUUUCGGAUCGUAAAACUCUGUUGGUAGCGAAGAACGUUGGUGAGAGUGGAAAGCUCAUCAAGUGACGGUAACUACCCAGAAAGGGACGGCUAACUACGUG
rnacentral:rRNA from 1 species